rnacentral:rRNA from 1 species
AUACGUAGGGGGCGAGCGUUGUCCGGAAUGACUGGGUGUAAAGGGCGUGUAGGCGGAGAUGCAAGUCAGGAGUGAAAUCUAGGGGCUCAACCCCUAAACUGCUUUUGAAACUGUAUCCCUUGAGUAUCGGAGAGGCAGGCGGAAUUCCUAGUGUAGCGGUGAAAUGCGUAGAUAUUAGGAGGAACACCAGUGGCGAAGGCGGCCUGCUGGACGACAACUGACGCUGAGGCGCGAAAGCGUGGGGAGCAAACAGGAUUAGAUACCCUGGUAGUCCACGCUGUAAACGAUGAAUACUAGGUGUGGGGGGACUGACCCCCUCCGUGCCGCAGUUAACACAAUAAGUAUUCCACCUGGGGAGUACGAUCGCAAGAUUGAAACUCAAAGGAAUUGACGGGG